rnacentral:rRNA from 1 species
CCUACGGGUGGCAGCAGUGAGGAAUAUUGGUCAAUGGACGCAAGCCUGAACCAGCCAUGCCGCGUGAAGGAAGACGGCUCUAUGAGUUGUAAACUGCUUUUGUACGGGAGUAAAUCGCAAUACGUGUACCGGGUUGAAUGUAUCGUACGAAUAAGGAUCGGCUAACUCCGUGCCAGCAGCCGCGGUAAUACGGAGGAUCCAAGCGUUAUCCGGAUUUAUUGGGUUUAAAGGGUGCGUAGGCGGUUCGAUAAGUUAGAGGUGAAAUCCCGGGGCUCAACUGCGGCACUGCAUCUGAUACUGGCGUGCUAGAGUGCAGUAGCGGUAGGCGGAAUGUAUGGUGUAGCGGUGAAAUGCAUAGAGAUCACACAGAACACCGAUUGCGAAGGCAGCCUACCAAACUGCAACUGACGCUGAGGCUCGAAAGUGUGGGGAUCAAACAGGAUUAGAUACCCCAGUAGUC